AACAUGAGGAGGGCUGGGCUGCAGCUCAGGUUCUAAAGUCUGGCAUUAGAAAACAAAAAAUUUAAACACCUUUCUCUAGCCUCAAAGGACAAAAAGGAGGAGGAGGAGGAGACUAGAAAAUACUUGGCAUAGUGUCAGACCUAAGCUGGCACUGAACUAAACACAUGAAAACUGAACACAGAGGGCUGUGUUUUCUUGGUUCACCUGUAGAACUAAAAUAGAUUCCCCACCAGGCCCAACUCUUAGCCUUAGCCUUCUGCAAAGGGCUCCGAGGAGCUUUCUGUCCCCACUGAUUUGCAGAUGUGGUCUUUAGCAGAUCCCAGAAGGAACUCAAGAGGAAAGAGAAAUCACUCCCUGGGAGCAUGAGCUUUAAGUCCAUGGCAACCUGGGGUGCACCUCGUUGUUUGAGAAAGAAAAGUGGUGCAGGACCAAUCACACACACACAUGAGAUAAGAAGUCCCACAGAGAGGGACAGCAGCCACAACUCCCCCUUGGAUGCUACCUUUUUAUAGGCUAGAAUCGUGGCCAUGUGCUAGGGGCAAGUUUAGUCUUGACUGACAUAGCAAAGCGGGAACAGGGAAACUGGUACGUCCCUUUAUCUUCUCAAGGAGAGAACAGGGAAACCGGUACGUCCCUAUCUGAGGGGCAGGUAAGUUGUCUCCUAUCCCUCAGGGAGAGACCAGCAUGUCUCCAAGCUGGUAGGUUUUAUCUCAGGCUACUUUCUAUUUCUUGGGAAUAAGAACAGUACUCAUAAAGUGGCGGUGGGGAAAAGGAAGAUGGCUGCAGUGAUGCUAACAGUUUGUAGUCCAGGGGAGAAGGAGUAUAUAUCCUUUAUCACUCCCGUCCCUCCCUGAGACAGUGAUUGGUAGCAUAACAGUCCCAGGUGGUAAAGAAGCCUGAUGGCACUUGGAAAAUAACUGCUCUGUAGGGUGAAUGCAGUGGUGCCUUCUUUGCAUGCAGCAGUUCCCAUGGUGCAUGAAUUGGAUGAAAGUAACUCAGACACCACCCCACCAAAGUGGGGGCAUAUUUGGGACAAAGGAGUGCUUUGUGCACUGGUCCUUUAUCCCAUGAGCUCCAAAAGAUCCUAGGGCAGGUGCAGUGUGCACCAAAAGAUCCUAGGGCAGGUGCAGUGUGCACCUGAGCAAACAGCACACCCUGCUGAUACAUGUGAGCAGACAGCCAUCGUCCUUCAAGGAAGGAAAAGCCCUGUUGGGCACCAGUGCUUGGUUCACUGACCAGUCCAGCUGAGUCCCAUAGACCAUUGCACUGCCAUUGCUCUACGGACACCUUAUGGUGUGAUGCUGGGCUGGGGCAAAGCCCCCAAUUGGCUGGUCCCUGCCAUAAGUGCUGGAAAUAGUGGGGGUCCUGACACGAAGGCAAGAAUUUUACUUCCAUGCACAGAUGUUUUUAAAAGCAGUGUCCAUCACUUUUAAAGUUUUUCUUUGGUAGGAAAAAGAUGACUUAAAAUGGUAACUAGGUUUUUUAGAUAGGUUGAUUUUCAUGAGUAACCCCAAAUGAGCAGUUAAAAAUAGGACUUUUCGUAGAUUUCACUGGGACUCACAAUUAAACUACAAGGCAGUGUGGUGCACGAUCCUGAGAGGACCUACUACCUUGCUUGAGAGUGUCCUCUUUGCCCUUUUUCAUAUCUUUAUUUAUUCAUUUUGGUUCUAGGUAUUGAUCCCUAUGGUGCUUCCCCACUGAGCUACAGGCCCACCCUAUUUUAUACUGUGUUUUGGGACAAAGUCUUGCUGAGUUGCUUCAGGCCUUCCUGUGUUGCUGAGGCUCACUUUGAACUUGUGAUCCCUCUGCCUCAUCCUCCCAAGCGACUGGGAUCAAAAUGUAUGCCACUGGGCCUGGCUUUUCUAUCCCUUUUCAUAAACUUUGCUAUUGUUUUAGUAAGUGCCACGUCUUGCCUGGAGGUCUCUCAAGGGAGAACAUACUAGGGUCAUGGAAGGGAACCUCCAAAAAUGCCUCCCUCUGUUGCCAUAAGUAUUCUUCUUACAGCACAGCCACCCCUGAUGCUUGCCUUCCACCUGAGUAAGUAGGAAGCCAGCCGAGGGUGGUCACAUGCCAAAUGUUUGCAGGGACAGCCACUCCCAUCUGCCAACAUUGCAAAAGUAAAAAACACUGCUAUUUUCUCAGCUGCAAAAAUCCCUUCAGCAUACAUAACUUCUGUCUGCAGAUGCCCAUUUAACCAAUGCUAACAUCACCCCUUCCCCUUGGCUGAGUUCUUAUCAGCUAUCCAUCCAAUGGGACAUCUAGGCCAGAGGAGUAGGCAAUUAUGCCCCCAUAAAGAAGUCACAUUCUGAAAGCCAUGUUUUGUCUCAGUGAAGGUGGAAACAGGGGGAUUAAUAACCCCUGGGGACAGGCCAGAAAGAAGGUGCUAAGGUUGGGGCAGCUGCUUCUACAAAUGGCUUGAAACAGCCUUUGCAUGUAGGAAAAAAAUGAAAAUAUAAAGGACCCCCUUCACCUCUGCCACCACUCUGGGUGACACUGAAUCACUUCAAUCCCUGUGCCCCUGCUGGGCUGCAGCAAAGGGAGCAACCCAGGAUGUGUAUGGUUAAUGCCCAUACGGGCAGCAGAGGCUGGUCUAGUCCAACAGCAGCGCCACCUACCUCUCACAUAAGGGCCUGAAUCCUGGAGUCUGCCCCUAUGCUAGGGAGGGGGAGCAUCCAUUUACUCAAGUGGGCACAGGGGCUGUAGGACCCAACCUCAGAGUCCAUGUGCCUGGGGUGGCUGCUGGGUGAGUAUUGUAGGAAGUGGUCUCAAGGGAGGAUAUAGGAAGGUAAGUUUGCAAGUGCCUGCCAGUGAUCAGCUCGGGGACAGCUGGCAGUUGCGGUCCACAGGAAACCCAUGGGAAAUGGAAGCCUAGUUCUCACCUGGCCUGCUUUACUAACCAAGUGAUAAUUUGAUGAUUAUUCUAGCAACUCUUGGGGCCCAUGAGAAACUGUGUGCUGUGUCUGGCUGAGAUAGGAAUUUGGGACACAAAGAAGAUUAACUAAGUCUCAAAAGUACAAGGUCCAUAAACCACUAGAAUACAGGAAAUGCCCAUGAAGUUUUGACAUUAAAAACAAGCAACUUCUAAGAAAACCAGAAUUCUUUUGAUGCCACUAUCUGUGCUCCCAAAAUACUAACAUGAUACCUGGACAAUGAGCAAGCCUAGAAAAAUGUGUGAAAUCACAAUUCUGAUUCCACCUCUAGUCCAGCCCUCACCUAAUGUCCCUCUAUAAAUAACACUACCCAGUGGUUUGCUGUAUCUCCCUUGGAGAUGUCCUGCAUUCUGUGACUAUGUAUCUACAUUCCUAAAUAAAUCUGCCCAUGUCUCUGAUUGA